rnacentral:rRNA from 1 species
UUUUUCGGUCAAUACCGUAUGAAUGAAAAUGUGGCCAGUGUGCUGGAAGUCAUUGGUCGUGAUUACCAAAAAGAGCUUUCCCUCAAGGAUAUCAGUAAGGCUCUCUUUAUCAAUCCUGUCUAUCUAGGGCAGUUGAUUAAGCGUGAAACCGAUUCGACUUUUGCAGAGUUACUAAACAAACAACGUAUUAAGGCUGCCCAACAACUUUUGCUUUCAACUAGUGACAGCAUCGAAGAUAUUUGUUAUGCUGUUGGUUACAGUAACCUUGGAUAUUUCUAUAAAGUUUUCCGAAAAUUGUGCGGAAAAUCGCCAAAAGCCUACCGAAAACAGGUAGAAACUAUACUAUAAGAUUUGUAUUCCUUUACAAAAUGUGCUAUAAUAUAAAUAUUAUUAUUAGGAGGUUCUAUCAUGAAAAAGAAACCAAUUUAUCUAUGGGUCUUGCUAAUCUUGUCUGCCCUUAUUUCAGUUCCGUCUCUGUUUGGAAUUGUGAGUCCCUUGCCUAGUAAAGAAGCCCUUCGUGCUGCUCAGAAACAAGUUGCAGGGGUCAAUGCUCAGCAAUUAGAAGACCAGCUUAAUUAUACCUAUAGAGUAGCAGAAGCAUCUCAUUCUAUUUUUAAUGUUGCUUUGAUUGUGCUAUCUACUAUUUUAGUGGUCGUAGCGAUUGUCUUCCUUGUUCGUAAAAAUUUGCAAUAUGCAAACUAUACUUACGUUGGCUAUGUUUUGUUAGCUAUUAUUGGUUCGAUUUAUGGCUAUGUUGGUUUACAAGACGCUGUGCAGUUGGUUCAAGAUGAGAGCAUGCGUUUGACAGUGAGUAUUGGUUCAAAAGCUGUUAGCAUUUUCUAUAUCGUCAUCAAUGUUCUCUUCCUAGCCCUUGUCUUCUAUAAGAUGUGGCGACAACAGAAAGCCUUGGCAGAAGAAGAGGAAACAGAAGAGCUUGCCUAAGUAUUGACAAAAAAGAACUAUCAAGAUACAAUCUUGGUAGUUGUUUUUUGAUUAUAGAUAAAAUCAUGGAGGUACAUAUGAAGACAAUUUCUUUAGUUUAUAUUAGUUUGAGUGGCAACACUGAAAGUUUUGUGACGCGAUUGAAAGACUAUCUCUUGUCCCAGUACAAAGGGAUUGAGGUUCAAAAGAUUCAUAUCAAGGAUUUAGUCAAGGAAGGCAAAAAUUUCUAUGAAAUGGACCAUCCCUAUGUCGCUUUUUUGCCGACCUAUCUCGAAGGUGGGAAUGGCGUGGAUAACGGAGAUGUUGAGAUUUUGACGACACCGGUGGGAGAUUUUAUUGCCUAUGGUAACAAUGCUAGUAAGUGUUUUGGUGUGGUUGGGUCAGGAAAUCGUAACUUUAAUAACCAAUACUGCCUAACAGCCAAGCAAUACAGUCAACGCUUUGGCUUCCCUGUAUUGGCUGACUUUGAAAUGCGAGGCAUGCUGGAAGAUAUCAAACAUGUCGCAGCUAUUAUCGCAGAUUUGUAUGAGUUGGAAAAGGAGAAUUAAUACUCAAUGAAAAUCAAAGAGCAAACUAGGAAGCUAGUCGCAGGUUGCUCAAAGCACAGCUUUGAGGUUGCAGAUAGAGCUGACGUGGUUUGAAGAGAUUCUCGAAUAGUAUAAAGUUCUUAUAAGAGGUGGUUGAAGUUGUUCAACUGUUUUUUGAGUAUAAACAGUCUUUAAGAACGUAAAAAAGCAUAAGUUCAGGUCUUCAAAACCUUGUUCUUAUGCUUUUUAUCAUAGAAAUAUUUGCUGAAUUUUCUCUUGAAAUGAAACCUUAUCUUCAUCUCGCGCUUGUCCCUUACCCUGCUUUUCCGAUUGCGAGUGCGUAGAUAAAGAAGAUGGCGAAGCCAAAGAGGAAAAUCAAUCCCGCAAUGGCAAGGUGUUUGAGCCAAGAAGGAAGAUUUUUGUUUUCACGCGUUACCAAGGCGUAAUUCAAAAGAGCAAAGAAAGGUGUUGUCAGGAAAGAUCCAAUCAUGGCAAAGCGGAGCAUGGUUGAAACCUGACCAGCGAAGAACUUGAUAAUGACGAUACCGAUGAUAGCAGUGAUGGUCAUCCAGAUGUUCAAAGAUUUACGAUUGUCCUCUUUUUGACUGAUUAGCAGUCGGAGAGAUUCCUGAUUAACGCGAGAAUAGCCAUCGAUAACAGUUAUAACUGUUCCAAAGAUACAGAGGAAGGCAAUAAAGGUAAUCAAGUAACGGGACCAUUCGCCAAGAACAGAGGCAUACAUGCCCACGAAUUGAGAGAUGUAUUUGGCUGAAGCAGCUUCAACCGCCUGCCCUGUAGGAUACUGAAUCAGUGCUCCCAGUGCCACAAAGAAGACGGCUAGGAUAGCUGUUCCAAUAUAACCAGUGUUAAAGUCAAACAGAGCGUCUUCUGUGUUAAAGUUGACGGUCUUUCUCUUUUCAGCUGACCAAAGUGAAUUGAUGGCUGAAAUUUCAAUAGGAGCCGGCAUCCAUCCUAGGAGGGAGACGAUGAAGGGCAGAGCUGCCAUUUGCCAAGGUGUCUUCUCGACAAAAUCAGAACUGUAUUCUGGAUGCUUGACCGCCGCAAUGAUAACUGCCAGAACAGUCGCAAUGGUUAAGGCAGACAUAAUCCAUUUGACCAUGCCGUCUAAAAGUUUGUAGCCUCCAAAGAGUAGCAUAGCCCAAAUGAUUGCAACGAGAAUGAGGGACCACUGAGUAAUGCUAAGUCCAAUCAUUGGGAAGGCACUGGCGAUGAUAGCUGAGCACAGAAUGGCAACACCAGCCGUGUUGACCAUAGCCGAAAAGACAUUGAGGAUAAAGAAAAUCCAGAGAUAGAGUUUUCCUUUUUCGGCAUAACCUUCAACCAAAGUCUUUCCAGUAUCAGCUGUGUAUUCAGCACCAAAACGGAAAAAUGGAUAUUUAAAGACAUUGGCUAAGAUGACCAAGAGAAGUAGAGACCAACCGUAAGAACCGCCAGCUUGAGUUGAGGAUACAAUGUGGGAACCUCCAACAGCGGCAGUUGCCAUUAGGAUUCCAGGUCCCAUUGCUUUUAGCUUGCUUGCCCAGGUUGAUUGAUUUAAGGAAAUAGCUUGCGACAUGAUAAAUACUCCUUUUUGAAUUUUCAGAAUAAUCUGUAUAUGUAAUCUAUAUUCUACAAAAAAUUUUGGAAAAAUGCAAGAAUAUUUUGAAAAAAGAUAGAAAAUUUACAAAGAAAAUCUGAAAUAACUGUUAUGAUAUAGCAGAUUGAAACUAGAAUAGUACACCUUUGCUUCUAAAACAUUGUUAGAAAUCGAUUUGACUGUCCUGAUCGAUUUAUCCUGUUCUUAUUUCAUUUCACUAUAGUAAGGUGCAGCAGGAUAAAGAAAAACCGAGAAGUUUCUUUCUCGGAUUUGCUUAUUAUGAGGUUCCUAUUUUCUAUGCUCCAAGAGUUGAUUGAUGUGAUCUACUUUUUUAGCCUCUCUUUUAUAGAGAAUAGCCCAGAUGAUGAGAUAGACAAUCGCAAACUCGAUAAUGAGCUGGAGGUAGAAAAUCCAGUGGAAAGGGAACCAACCAGCAAGAGUUGCUAGUGGGACAAAGCCAGCCAGCAUAAGGAAGAAAUGAGUCAGAGUGGCACGAAGCAUGCUCCAGUCACGGCUGAAUAAGCGGUUGCCAAAGUUGAAGAGCAUACCGAUGGCUGCCCAGAUAAGUGUGCAGUAGAGCAAGACCAGGGCACCGUGAACCUGAUGCUGAUCCAUCACUUGGCCGAUGAGAGAGUAGGGAUUUAGUGGUGCGUAGGUAUUUGGUGCAUAAAUGAGUGAAAAGAGGAUGGAGAGGAUGAGGCCGAUAAGAACACCGGCAGCUGCAUCGUGAAAUACUUGUUUUUUCAUAGUUCUAAUUUCUCCUUGAUGGUUUUUAGAUAACGGCGUGAAGAGUAGGUGAAGCUUUCGUUUUUCAAGAAAAUUUCUACCAGACCGUUUGGCGUGAGCUUGAGGUGAGAGAUGGAAUCGAUAUUGAUGAUUUCUGAUUGGGAAAUUUGGAUAAAAUUGGUUGGCAAGAGUUUAAGAACCUGAUAGAGUCGCAAAUCAAUGCUGUAGGUCUGACUAGCGGUUUCUGCUAGAACCUUCCGAUUCUCGAUAUAGAAGCGCUGAAUCUUGCCAAUCUCAACUAGAUAGACCUGAUCAUCGAUUUUUCCUUUGAUUUUUUCUCUUUGGUCCAGAUUUUCUGCGAACUCGAUGACUUUCUGGACUUUUUCGGUUUCUUGAGGUGCUUGGACAAUCAGCUUUUCCUCCUCGUAAGUCUCACUAAUCUGUAGUUCUACUUUCAUAAAUUUCUCUCCUUGUUUUUCAUACAAAAUUAAUCUCNAACACAGCUCUCUGCUAAAUCGUAAGAUGAUGUAUAGGGGGUGACGCCUGCCCGGUGCUGGAAGGUUAAGAGGAGUGCUUAGCGUAAGCGAAGGUAUGAAUUGAAGCCCCAGUAAACGGCGGCCGUAACUAUAACGGUCCUAAGGUAGCGAAAUUCCUUGUCGGGUAAGUUCCGACCCGCACGAAAGGCGUAAUGAUUUGGGCACUGUCUCAACGAGAGACUCGGUGAAAUUUUAGUACCUGUGAAGAUGCAGGUUACCCGCGACAGGACGGAAAGACCCCAUGGAGCUUUACUGCAGUUUGAUAUUGAGUGUCUGUACCACAUGUACAGGAUAGGUAGGAGUCUAAGAGAUCGGGACGCCAGUUUCGAAGGAGACGCUGUUGGGAUACUACCCUUGUGUUAUGGCCACUCUAACCCAGAUAGGUGAUCCCUAUCGGAGACAGUGUCUGACGGGCAGUUUGACUGGGGCGGUCGCCUCCUAAAAGGUAACGGAGGCGCCCAAAGGUUCCCUCAGAAUGGUUGGAAAUCAUUCGCAGAGUGUAAAGGUAUAAGGGAGCUUGACUGCGAGAGCUACAACUCGAGCAGGGACGAAAGUCGGGCUUAGUGAUCCGGUGGUUCCGUAUGGAAGGGCCAUCGCUCAACGGAUAAAAGCUACCCUGGGGAUAACAGGCUUAUCUCCCCCAAGAGUUCACAUCGACGGGGAGGUUUGGCACCUCGAUGUCGGCUCGUCGCAUCCUGGGGCUGUAGUCGGUCCCAAGGGUUGGGCUGUUCGCCCAUUAAAGCGGCACGCGAGCUGGGUUCAGAACGUCGUGAGACAGUUCGGUCCCUAUCCGUCGCGGGCGUAGGAAAUUUGAGAGGAUCUGCUCCUAGUACGAGAGGACCAGAGUGGACUUACCGCUGGUGUACCAGUUGUCUUGCCAAAGGCAUCGCUGGGUAGCUAUGUAGGGAAGGGAUAAACGCUGAAAGCAUCUAAGUGUGAAACCCACCUCAAGAUGAGAUUUCCCAUGAUUAUAUAUCAGUAAGAGCCCUGAGAGAUGAUCAGGUAGAUAGGUUAGAAGUGGAAGUGUGGCGACACAUGUAGCGGACUAAUACUAAUAGCUCGAGGACUUAUCCAA